rnacentral:rRNA from 1 species
UGGGCGGGACGGGUGAGUAUCGCGUAGGGAUUUAUCGUUGGGUGGGGGAUAACCUUGGGAAACUGGGGCUAAUACCGCAUGACGCCUGUGGGCCAAAGUUGUAAUGGCGCCUGACGAGAAGCCUGCGUCCGAUUAGCUAGUUGGUGGGGUAAAGGCCUACCAAGGCUACGAUCGGUAGCUGGUCUGAGAGGAUGAUCAGCCACACUGGGACUGAGACACGGCCCAG